rnacentral:rRNA from 1 species
CAGUAGCCACGGUAAUACGUAGGUGGCAAGCGUUGUCCGGAAUUAUUGGGCGUAAAGCGCGCGCAGGUGGUUUAAUAAGUCUGAUGUGAAAGCCCACGGCUCAACCGUGGAGGGUCAUUGGAAACUGUUAAACUUGAGUGCGGGAGAGAAAAGUGGAAUUCCUAGUGUAGCGGUGAAAUGCGUAGAGAUUAGGAGGAACACCAGUGGCGAAGGCGGCUUUUUGGCCUGUAACUGACACUGAGGCGCGAAAGCGUGGGGAGCAAACAGGAUUAGAUACCCCCGUAGUCCCUGUCUCUUAUAC